rnacentral:rRNA from 1 species
GCGACCCCAGGUCAGGCGGGGCUACCCGCUGAGUUAAGCAUAAUCAAUA